rnacentral:rRNA from 1 species
GACGAACGCUGGCGGCGUGCUUAACACAUGCAAGUCGAACGGAAAGGCCCUGCUUUUGUGGGGUGCUCGAGUGGCGAACGGGUGAGUAACACGUGAGUAACCUGCCCUUGACUUUGGGAUAACUUCAGGAAACUGGGGCUAAUACCGGAUAUGAUCUCCUGCUGCAUGGUGUGGGUUGGAAAGUUUCGGCGGUUGGGGAUGUACUCGCGGCUUAUCAGCUUGUUGGUGGGGUAGUGGCUUACCAAGGCUUUGACGGGUAGCCGGCCUGAGAGGGUGACCGGCCACAUUGGGACUGAGAGACGGCCCAGACGCCUACGGGAGGCAGCAGUGGGGAAUAUUGCACAAUGGGCGGAAGCCUGAUGCAGCGACGCCGCGUGCGGGAUGACGGCCUUCGGGUUGUAAACAGCUUUCGACUGUGACGAAGAGUGCGUGACGGUAAUGGGUAAAGAAGCAACGGCUAACUACGUG